UACGUAGGGAGCAAGCGUUGUCCGGAAUUAUUGGGCGUAAAGCGCUUGUAGGCGGCUUGUUAAGUCGCGUGUGAAAUCCCCAGGCUCAACCUGGGAAGUGCGCGCGAAACUGGCGAGCUUGAAUGCCGGAGAGGGUCGCGGAAUUCCCGGUGUAGAGGUGAAAUUCGUAGAUAUCGGGAGGAACACCAGUGGCGAAGGCGGCGACCUGGACGGACAUUGACGCUGAGACGCGAAAGCGUGGGGAGCAAACAGG
rnacentral:rRNA from 1 species